UAUCCGUGAAGAAACUUUUGUGCCAGAAGAAGAAGUAUCAUCGCCGGCUUUACCUCUUAUAGUGUGAACGUUGAAAACAUGGAAGAAAGUUAUAAUGAGGCGUGUUCCUGUGUAGACGAGCAUGGCGCAGACAUCUUGCGCCUACGCUUGAGUUUGUGCCUGCGCCCUUGCGCCGCGCUUUUAUGCCUUGUCGUGUAGACGAGCCUUAAAGCAAUAUGCGAUUGGACCACUACUUAUUUAACCUCAUAUAUCAGAGCAAAACAUUCGGCAAGCCCUUAUUUUCAAGAAUUUUGCCAGAACUGCAAGUUGGCCAGACUCUGAUUCGAGGGAUUCGACUGUGCUCUAGUAGAGGACUCUAUGCUCUAGGAGAGAGAGGCGCCAACGGGUCAUGUAACCAUGCAGCCACUCCGUGAUUGGCUGGCAACAAUAACUUAUGUAGAUUAUUGGAGAAAAAUCCUUACGAGUGCAUGCGCCCGAGAUAGCACUGGAAAUAGUUCCCAGGUUAAAGAGUCGUUAGGGCGUAAUGGGA